GGGCCGCUAGCUCAGUUGGUAGAGCAGCUGACUCUUAAUCAGCGGGUCCUCGGUUCGAUCCCGGGGCGGCCCACCA
rnacentral:tRNA from 1 species